UACGUAGGCAGCGAGCGUUGUUCGGAGUUACUGGGCGUAAAGGGUGUGUAGGCGGUUUUCUAAGUUUGGUGUGAAAUCUCCCGGCUUAACCGGGAGGGUGCGCCGAAAACUGGGAGACUAGAGUGCGGGAUGGGAGAGUAGAAUUCCUGGUGUAGCGGUGAAAUGCGUAGAUAUCUGGAGGAAUACCGGUGGCGAAGGCGGCAUCCUGGACCGACAUUGACGCUGAGGGGCGAAAGCUAGGGGAGCAAACGGG
rnacentral:rRNA from 1 species